AUUGAACGCUGGCGGCAGGCCUAACACAUGCAAGUCGAGCGGAUGACGGGAGCUUGCUCCUGGAUUCAGCGGCGGACGGGUGAGUAAUGCCUAGGAAUCUGCCUGGUAGUGGGGGAUAACGUCCGGAAACGGGCGCUAAUACCGCAUACGUCCUGAGGGGGAAAGUGGGGGAUCUUCGGACCUCACGCUAUCAGAUGAGCCUAGGUCGGAUUAGCUAGUUGGUGGGGUAAAGGCCUACCAAGGCGACGAUCCGUAACUGGUCUGAGAGGAUGAUCAGUCACACUGGAACUGAGACACGGUCCAGACUCCUACGGGAGGCAGCAGUGGGGAAUAUGGGACGAUGGGCGAAAGCCUGAUCCAGCCAUGCCGCGUGUGUGAAGAAGGUCUUCUGAGUGUAAAACACUUUAAGUUGGGAGGAAGGGCAGUAAGUUAAUACCUUGCUGUUUUGACGUUACCAACAGAAUAAGCACCGGCUAACUUCGUG
rnacentral:rRNA from 1 species